rnacentral:rRNA from 1 species
AUGAACGCUAGCGACAGGCUUAACACAUGCAAGUCGAGGGGCAGCACAGGUAGCAAUACCGGGUGGCGACCGGCGCACGGGUGAGUAACGCGUAUGCAACUUACCUAUCAGAGGGGGAUAACCCGGCGAAAGUCGGACUAAUACCGCAUGAAGCAGGGGCCCCGCAUGGGGAUAUUUGCUAAAGAUUCAUCGCUGAUAGAUAGGCAUGCGUUCCAUUAGGCAGUUGGCGGGGUAACGGCCCACCAAACCGACGAUGGAUAGGGGUUCUGAGAGGAAGGUCCCCCACAUUGGUACUGAGACACGGACCAAACUCCUACGGGAGGCAGCAGUGAGGAAUAUUGGUCAAUGGCCGAGAGGCUGAACCAGCCAAGUCGCGUGAGGGAUGAAGGUUCUAUGGAUCGUAAACCUCUUUUAUAAGGGAAUAAAGUGCGGGACGUGUCCCGUUUUGUAUGUACCUUAUGAAUAAGGAUCGGCUAACUCCGUGCCAGCAGCCGCGGUAAUACGGAGGAUCCGAGCGUUAUCCGGAUUUAUUGGGUUUAAAGGGUGCGUAGGCGGCCUUUUAAGUCAGCGGUGAAAGUCUGUGGCUCAACCAUAGAAUUGCCGUUGAAACUGGGGGGCUUGAGUAUGUUUGAGGCAGGCGGAAUGCGUGGUGUAGCGGUGAAAUGCAUAGAUAUCACGCAGAACCCCGAUUGCGAAGGCAGCCUGCCAAGCCAUGACUGACGCUGAUGCACGAAAGCGUGGGGAUCAAACAGGAUUAGAUACCCUGGUAGUCCACGCAGUAAACGAUGAUCACUAGCUGUUUGCGAUACACAGUAAGCGACACAGCGAAAGCGUUAAGUGAUCCACCUGGGGAGUACGCCGGCAACGGUGAAACUCAAAGGAAUUGACGGGGGCCCGCACAAGCGGAGGAACAUGUGGUUUAAUUCGAUGAUACGCGAGGAACCUUACCCGGGUUUGAACGCAUUCGGACCGAGGUGGAAACACCUUUUCUAGCAAUAGCCGUUUGCGAGGUGCUGCAUGGUUGUCGUCAGCUCGUGCCGUGAGGUGUCGGCUUAAGUGCCAUAACGAGCGCAACCCUUGCCACUAGUUACUAACAGGUGAUGCUGAGGACUCUGGUGGGACUGCCAGCGUAAGCUGCGAGGAAGGCGGGGAUGACGUCAAAUCAGCACGGCCCUUACAUCCGGGGCGACACACGUGUUACAAUGGCGUGGACAAAGGGAGGCCACCUGGCGACAGGGAGCGAAUCCCCAAACCACGUCUCAGUUCGGAUCGGAGUCUGCAACCCGACUCCGUGAAGCUGGAUUCGCUAGUAAUCGCGCAUCAGCCAUGGCGCGGUGAAUACGUUCCCGGGCCUUGUACACACCGCCCGUCAAGCCAUGGGAGCCGGGGGUACCUGAAGUCCGUAACCGCGAGGAUCGGCCUAGGGUAAAACUGGUGACUGGGGCU